rnacentral:rRNA from 1 species
GACAGAGGCCCCAAGCGUUAGGCGGAAUCACUGGGCUUAAAGCGUGUGUAGGCGGACGCCUAAGUGUCUUGUGAAAUCCCACGGCUCACCCGUGGAACUGCUGGGCAUACUGGGCGUCUUGGGCCAACUAGGGGCAGCCGGAACAAGCGGUGGAACGGUGAAAUGCGUAGAUAUCGCUUGGAACGCCGAAGGUGAAAACAGGCUGCUGGGGUUGCGCCGACGCUGAGACACGAAAGCCAGGGGAGCAAACGGG